UACGUAGGGGGCAAGCGUUAUCCGGAAUCACUGGGCGUAAAGGGUGCGUAGGUGGUUUGACAAGUCAGAAGUGAAAGGCUACGGCUUAACCGUGGUAAGCUUUUGAAACUGUUAGACUUGAGUGCAGGAGAGGUAAGUGGAAUUCCUAGUGUAGCGGUGAAAUGCGUAGAUAUUAGGAGGAACACCAGUGGCGAAGGCGACUUACUGGACUGUAACUGACACUGAGGCACGAAAGCGUGGGGAGCAAACAGG
rnacentral:rRNA from 1 species